rnacentral:rRNA from 1 species
AUGAACGCUGGCGGGUGCCUAAACAUGCAAGUCGAGCGGUAACAGGUGUAGCAAUACAUGCUGACGAGCGGCGAACGGGUGAGUAAUGCUUCGGAAUCUGCCCAAUGGUGGGGAAUAACCAGCCGAAAGGUUGGCUAAUACCGCAUAAGUCCUACGGGGGAAAGCAGGGGAUCGCAAGACCUUGCGCCGAUGGAUGAGCCGAAGUCGGAUUAGCUAGUUGGUAGGGUAACGGCCUACCAAGGCGACGAUCCGUAGCUGGUCUGAGAGGACGACCAGCCACACUGGGACUGAGACACGGCCCAGACUCCUACGGGAGGCAGCAGUGGGGAAUAUUGGACAAUGGGGGAAACCCUGAUCCAGCGACGCCGCGUGUGUGAAGAAGGCCUGCGGGUUGUAAAGCACUUUUAGUGGGGAUGAAAAGCUCAGGGCUAACACCUCUGGGUCUUGACCUAACCCACAGAAAAAGCACCGGCUAACUCUGUGCCAGCAGCCGCGGUAAUACAGAGGGUGCGAGCGUUAAUCGGAAUUACUGGGCGUAAAGCGUGCGUAGACGGUUAUGUAAGUCGGGUGUGAAAGCCCCGGGCUCAACC